rnacentral:rRNA from 1 species
CCUACGGGAGGCAGCAGUAGGGAAUCUUCGGCAAUGGACGGAAGUCUGACCGAGCAACGCCGCGUGAGUGAAGAAGGUUUUCGGAUCGUAAAGCUCUGUUGUAAGAGAAGAACGAGUGUGAGAGUGGAAAGUUCACACUGUGACGGUAUCUUACCAGAAAGGGACGGCUAACUACGUGCCAGCAGCCGCGGUAAUACGUAGGUCCCGAGCGUUGUCCGGAUUUAUUGGGCGUAAAGCGAGCGCAGGCGGUUAGAUAAGUCUGAAGUUAAAGGCUGUGGCUUAACCAUAGUACGCUUUGGAAACUGUUUAACUUGAGUGCAAGAGGGGAGAGUGGAAUUCCAUGUGUAGCGGUGAAAUGCGUAGAUAUAUGGAGGAACACCGGUGGCGAAAGCGGCUCUCUGGUCUGUAACUGACGCUGAGGCUCGAAAGCGUGGGGAGCAAACAGAAUUAGAUACCCUGGUAGUCCACGCAGUAAACGAUGAGUGCUAGGUGUUAGACCCUUUCCGGGGUUUAGUGCCGCAGCUAACGCAUUAAGCACUCCGCCUGGGGAGUACGACCGCAAGGUUGAAACUCAAAGGAAUUGACGG